CCUGUGCGCACACACACACGCACGCACACACACACACACACACAAUGAGGGGGCGUGUCUCCGACUGGUCAGCGAUCACAUCAACAAGCCGAUGAAAACAAGAGCCCAGGUGACCCCAGGUGACCCCGGCAGCGAGGAGCUGUGUACCUCGGAGGAUCCUCUCCUCGUGGCAGCGCAUAAAGUCCCAGAUCCGAACGGUGCCGUCGUCUGAGCAGGUGGCAAAUUUAUUAUCUGUUGGAGAAAAACUGAAGAAUACAGACAGAGCGUCACCACGGUGACGUGAUGGACACGUCCUCACUGGAUCCUAACAACAACAAUUAAUGUCACAAGGUCUCAUUUUUGAUUGGUCGAAGCAUUUGGCCGCGGGGUUUCCCCCUCCAGGUGCAUUGUGGGGAUUCACAGUCUUAAAUCUGAUUUGUUCCUCAGGGCUCUACAUUGGGACCGAAUCUCUUCUGAUAAGACUCGCAAUAUUCAAAGUUGGAAACUUUCCACGGGAACAUACGGGAAUAAACUGGAAAUGUGGGGAGAAUUUUACUGCAUUUACCAUUUUGUUUUGUCAUAAGAAGACAUUUCUAAUACACAUUAAAAAAAUUAAAUUUUGGACUUAAUCCACACACAUCCAUCCUACUCACUGCUGUAAGACGUUAGCGUGCGAUAUACAAAUGAACUAAAGUCAGCUUGGCUUCAGUGAUCCACGUGCCUGCAGCCUGCAGCCUGCACGGUCCGUUACGUGCUUUGCAAAACAACUUUUAGAACAAUGAAAAUUCACAUGGAAAGUUUCUGAAACCUUCUGGCCCCGUUGCAGCCCUACUUUGCCUCCCGGAUCUCACAAACACGAGACAGGAUGAAGAGAAAUACAUUUGGUAAAGUGACUGUAUAUUUUCCAUUAGUGUUCAGAUGACAUCUAAUAAAAAGUGAAAAGUCAAA